rnacentral:rRNA from 1 species
AUAUUAUUAAGCGGAGGAAAAGAAACUAACAAGGAUUCCCUCAGUAACGGCGAGUGAAGUGGGAAAAGCUCAAGCUGAAAAUCGGGGCGCAAGCUUCGAAUUGUAGUCUAGAGACGCAAUCUCAGUCCAAGUCCGGGUUUAAUUGUCUUGGAAAAGGCAGACAGAGAGGGUGAUAUCCCCGUAUGUGGCCCAGAUCCUUGGAUGUACGAGUUGUGCUCAACGAGUCGGGUUGUUUGGGAUUGCAGCCCUAAUUGGGUGGUAAGUUUCAUCCAAAGCUAAAUAUCUACCAGAGACCGAUAGCGCACAAGUA